rnacentral:pre_miRNA from 1 species
AUAACAUUCGGACCGUCGGUCUACCGAGCAAUUAUAUCCGCUUGGUCGAAGAUCUUUCUUUCGUAGU